AUGUAUAAUUGAUAUUUGAAUAAGGUGGCACAUGUGAGGCUGCUACGGAAGUUGAGAGCCCGCAGUAUCAAGGGGCAGAUACUAUCAUGGAUAGCAGGUUGGCUGGAUGGCAGAAGACAAAGAGUGGCAAUAAAGGGGGCAUUUUCUGGUUGGCUGUCAGCGACUAGCAGAGUUCCACAGAGGUCUGUACUGGGGCCGCUACUCUUCACGUUGUAUAUUUAUGAUUUGGACGAGGGGAUUGAAAGCUUUGUGGCCAAGUUUGCAGAUGAUACAAAAAUAGGUA